AUCUCUAUACUCUUAAUUAUCUUAUUAAGCUCCAUGCCAAAAUCAAAUCUCUUCAGCUCUCACUACUUCAUUGUGUUAAAUCUAGUCGCUUUUUAAAGAACCUUCCUCCUUUCACUUUCAAAACUGUUCCUGUUAAAACAACACUAACCAAAAUGAAUGCAUAAAUGUAAGCUAUGAAACCACAGCAUAUGUCACAGGAGUGACUUGGGUGGGGCCCUAUGAGUCUUCCAAGCCUAUAUUUUUUAAUACUUUAGAAAGAUUUUCCCAUUUUGGUAUUGUAUUUUCUUCUCGAUCAUCUACCUUCGUUCCCACCAUCCAUUCAGGUCCUUCUCCUAUAUAGCAGUUGUCUGAUAUUUCUCCUUUUGUGGUUGUUUUAGGGAAAAACUUAAAAUGGAUAUGAGAAGUGAAGAAAGUGAUCAUAGGAGAAAAAUCAUCUCAGGUGUCUGAGGAUUUGUGAGCAUCAAGUGAAUGUUCUGUGGAAUCAUCUUUCCUUGCCUUUGAAUUACCUUUCCCUAGGCCAUGAUCAUCAUCUAUAUUUUAUCUCUCCAAAUUGGACAUGGAAACAGCCACAACAGCACAACUAAUGACACUCAUGAGAGAGGACUGUUUCCGAAAGCGGCA
rnacentral:lncRNA from 1 species